CAGAGUCAAAGGGGGAGCCGCGGCUGUCGAUCCCACACCAUGAGGACGGGAGCCGUGAGAGUAAAAGAACUUUCAUAUACUUCAAGAAGAAAAUGUGUUGGCUCUCAGGACAUAUGCCAGGCUGAAAAUCCCAAUACAGCUGCAACUGAACUCAGUACCAGAGGGCUCCAAUUAUACAGUUUAACAGUCUUAAUCAUUUUAACUUUUACCUCCAUCUGCAUUUCAAAAGUAUGUUGAUUUAUAGCUUCAUACUCCAAUGUAUGCGAUUAAUGUUUUUGCACUCCGAAUGGCUUUGUAUGUACUUUGCAUUCUGUUUCUUUAACCUGGUACCAUGUUAACAAAAUAUAAUAAAUAUUUAUUAUUAAAA